CCAGUAGUCAUAUGCUUGUC
rnacentral:misc_RNA from 1 species